rnacentral:misc_RNA from 1 species
UCAGUUCUAAACUCGGGGUUAGACGUGGGAGAGGAAGAGUGUUUGUUUGAACUCGCACGUUGAGGUUACGUCGAGAACGGACCUGCUCGAUGAGCGAGCCGAGAACUGAUUCUAACCCGUAAUCAUCGAGCGCCGAUGGUCGCAAAUCUGUCAUCACAUGGCGUACCAAAUCAAUAACCUGGGCUGAGAGAUUUAUCGAGUCGGUCAAUCGCGCGGCGGUUUCCUGUUGAGGAGCGGCCAAAAGCUCCUCGCUCAUGAUAACCAGGUUCGUUUUCAAAGCCGCCAGACUUUGACUAACUCCGUCAUGCAGUUCACGGGCGACAAUACGCCGUUCUGAGUCCUGU